GGAAUCUUGCGCAAUGGACGAAAGUCUGACGCAGCCACGCCGCGUGAAGGAAGACACCCCUAUGGGGCGUAAACUUCUUUUCUACGGGAAGAACACCCUGCUUGGCAGGGUCUGACGGUACCGUCGGAAUAAGCACCGGCUAACGCCGUGCCAGCCGCCGCGGUAAUACGGAGGGUGCAAGCGUUGUCCGGAAUCACUGGGUGUAAAGGGUGUGCAGGCGGGACAGUAAGUCAGAGGUGAAAUCCUGCGGCUUAACCGUAGAAUUGCCUUUGAUACUGCUGUUCUUGAGUCCUGGAGAGGUCGUUAGAAUUCGUGGUGUAGCGGUGAAAUGCGUAGAUAUCACGAGGAAUACCAGAGGUGUAGACGGACGACUGGACAGGUACUGACGCUGAGGCACGAAAGCGUGGGGAGCAAAC
rnacentral:rRNA from 1 species